UAUCGACCCGAGCCGUGCCGGAGCUAACGCGUUAAGUAUCCCGCCUGGGGAGUACGCACGCAAGUGUGAAACUCAAAGGAAUUGACGGGGGCCCGCACAAGCGGUGGAGUAUGUGGUUUAAUUCGAUGCAACGCGAAGAACCUUACCAAGACUUGACAUCCUGCGAAUCCCGGUGAAAGCUGGGAGUGCCUUAGGGAGCGCAGAGACAGGUGGUGCAUGGCUGUCGUCAGCUCGUGUCGUGAGAUGUUGGGUUAAGUCCCGCAACGAGCGCAACCCUCGUUUUUAGUUGCCAGCAUUAAGUUGGGCACUCUAGAGAGACUGCCGGUGACAAACCGGA
rnacentral:rRNA from 1 species